GUGCUGCACCCUAGGACAAAAAUAUCAAGGACUUCAUCAUUUUCCUGAUGAUGUCACCCCAGGAGAAUGCAGUAACCUCUGUGCACCUAUUUUAACAUGUAUGACUUGGGAGCUGCCAUAGAUGAGCACACAAACAAAAAGAGGGGCACUAGCUGUCAGGGGUUCAGAACAUUUUCUGCCACACACUUCGAUCAUAACCUGGAAGCUGCUACCUGUUCAUGGAUGCCUGCAACUGAUCCUGUGCAUCCUGUCGGUUUUAUCCUGAGAAGUAUCACCUCAGCAAUUGCCUCCAUCUUGUAAUUACUAGCUAAACAGAAAGACUCAUGAAACAUCUAUUUUUAUCUCUAUGGAACUCUUACCUGCAGUUCCUGCUGCUCGCUUUUCUGACUGAGACUGAAGCUUCCUAGAAAUCUGAAAGCAUCAUAAAGCCUACUGCUUUUAGAGGUAGGUGUGUGUGUGUGUGUGUG